AGGAAGCACAGGUGGGAGCUGGGACAGCUGGGUUCCAGACACUGUCCUGUUGGAUUCCCACAGAUCCACAGAUUUUGGAAAGCAGAUCCAACUCAUCCUUGCCUGCAGCCAGUCUCCCACAUCCCUUGGCUUCCCUCACCCAGGACAGCAGGGUUUUCAUGUUCACUUCCCUGAUAUCUCAAUUCUUCAGCCGGAGCUCAAACAGAGCCGCAUGCAACCACAUCACCUUUCCUUUCCAGGACAAGGUGACACACCUGCCAGCACUACCUGGGGCUGUGACUCAGCUCUGCCAGGAGUCACGAGCCCCAGGGACCUGGCAGGCCACAGGUAACACGUGUCCACACAGGGGGUGAGUUCUGAGCUGUCACAAGAACAAGGCGUGAACCAGUUGGAAAUUCGACCCAGGCAUCUCCUGUCAGCACAGGAACCAACGAGAUUGCAGAGCUGGGGAGGUUCCUGCAGGACUUCCAGGCUUCAACAGGUCCCCAUGAAUUUCUGCACAUUUUCCCUGCUGAUGUUUAAGGUCCGACCUUCACAGUGAACAGCUGAGAUUCAGUGUGGAAGAAGCAGGAUUCAGAACAGCCAGCAGCUAUGUCCAGAGCUGAUGAACCUCACUUUCCAAGCUGCUCAGACCAAGACUUUCCCUCCAACCUCAGCCCCUCCCAUGAGUGUUCUGUGACUCACAGGUCGCUGCAAGGCUGUCCUAGCAGAAGGCUCUCAUAUUCUGCUCAGUCACUGCUGGCAGUGCUUCAUCUGGACCAUCAGUGUGAUCCUGUACAGCUGCUCUCAUGCUCAUCCUGUUUUAACAUGUUUGUUUCCUUUAAUUUGAGGGAUGACAUUGGCCUGAUCCUCUCUCAUCCCACUCUUGUGCUCAUCCUGUGCACUGUGGGCUGGAAUCAGAGAGUGCAAACACAAGUCUUGUACUUAUUUGUAGAAAACAACAUAAAAAUGACUAGU